ACCACCACACUUCUCUUCCCCUUGCGUGCUCUUGCCCUGCCCGCACCUCCCACAUGGUCUUCAUGGCCGCGCCGCCACCUGGCCCGCCUCUGGAAACCGGCACCAGCAUGCGACCGGCCAUGGAUCCGCUCGAGGGGUAAACGGAGCAGGGCGGCGGUUCUUGCCGGCGCCAAGGAGGGCGAACAGGAGAGCACCCCGGAGAUGUAUAAUUCCGUUGGCGCGCCGCCGCAUCUGAGGGCGCCAAGAAGCACGAUCUUGAGGGAAUUGACUGAUGGUGUGGGAUUGGUGGUCUAGAGCGGCGGGCGACCCGAAAGAACGAAAUACUCUGUUUUUGACGUUCUUCUUGGUUCUUUGGCGCAGGAACAGCCUGAGUCGGACUCGCAACACGACAUCCAUCGCCGCCGGAGCUGACGAUGGCGCCGGUUCAGAGGCCCUGUUCUUGGCACAUCGUCAUCCUCGGUGUCGGCGUCGGCGGAAGUCAGGCAUGAAGACGUCUCUGUGAUGGCCGGCGGCGAUCAGCUUGCCGGGCUGGGAGACGACCCGCAGCAGAAACAGGCUUGCUUCACGCAUGUUGAUCGGUACACGCCAUGCCGCCUGACUCCCGUCGCCGCCUGUUGUCGCGAAGCAGAAAGCAAUACUCCACGAAGUGCUCCGUCGCCACGGGGGCAUCGACUUCUGCCAGCGCAAUGGCCGCAGCCCGCAGGAGCAUUGAAUCCCGGAGGAAACGGUAGACACAACCGACGCUGAAAGCUUGCCGGAGCAUCUCAUGUAUGUGGCCUGCGGCUCCUCGGCUUGGAGUUGGUUAAGGGACGUCACGGGUCAGCCCAAGCGCCCGCACAGCGUCGAGACCUUCAGGAUCAGGGACGUGAGCCGUCACGCCGCCCGUGCCUGCGAGCUAUGCACCGCGAUCAGCCGCCUCAGACAAUUGUGCGGCGAAUCAUGUCAUCAGCUGCGGCCCCAGAAGAUCCCAACGGGAGCGGGAGGAUUUACGUCCUCAUUCUCGUUGUUCUUGGCGCUUCAUCAUGGUGUCAUGCAUGCUGUUCUACAUCGUCGCCCAGAAAAGCGAGUACGGCCUGUCGGGAGAGAAGCAGUACAAUGUGAGCAACUGAGCAUACACUUGUGAUGCAUUUUUCUGGUUUAUAGGUGUACGUGCGUUAUGAUCUGAUGGUGUUGUUUUUUCGUGUUGUUUCUGUUCUUCAGUUACGGUUAGUGAUAUGGUUCGGGAUUUAGCAAAAGGAUAUAGUUGCAUACUAGGGCUCGCAAAUAACAUUUGGGGGUCACACAAGGCCUUGCAAUAAUCCUUUAUCUGCA